CCUACGGGAGGCAGCAGUGGGGAAUAUUGCACAAUGGGCGCAAGCCUGAUGCAGCAACGCCGCGUGAGGGACGAAGGCCUUCGGGUUGUAAACCUCUUUUAGUAGGGAAGAAGCGACUGGGUUUUCCUGGGAGUGACGGUACCUGCGGAAAAAGCACCGGCUAACUACGUGCCAGCAGCCGCGGUAAUACGUAGGGUGCAAGCGUUGUCCGGGAUUAUUGGGCGUAAAGAGCUCGUAGGCGGUUUGUCGCGUCUGCUGUGAAAACCCGAGGCUCAACCUCGGGCCUGCAGUGGGUACGGGCAGACUAGAGUGCGGUAGGGGAGAUUGGAAUUCCUGGUGUAGCGGUGGAAUGCGCAGAUAUCAGGAGGAACACCAAUGGCGAAGGCAGAUCUCUGGGCCGUAACUGACGCUGAGGAGCGAAAGCAUGGGGAGCGAACAGGAUUAGAUACCCUGGUAGUCCAUGCCGUAAACGUUGGGAACUAGAUGUGGGGACCAUUCCACGGUCUCCGUGUCGCAGCUAACGCAUUAAGUUCCCCGCCUGGGGAGUACGGCCGCAAGGCUAAAACUCAAAGGAAUUGACGGGGGCCCGCACAAGCGGCGGAGCAUGCGGAUUAAUUCGAUGCAACGCGAAGAACCUUACCAAGGCUUGACAUAUACCGGAAACGGCUGGAAACAGUCGCCCCGCAAGGUCGGUAUACAGGUGGUGCAUGGUUGUCGUCAGCUCGUGUCGUGAGAUGUUGGGUUAAGUCCCGCAACGA
rnacentral:rRNA from 1 species